rnacentral:lncRNA from 1 species
UUUCUUCUGGUAUGUAUACUAUACAUUGUCUAUUCUUUCUCCUAUUGUCUGUCAUGUUAUUUUUAAUUGCUUGAGGAACCCUUAUUCUGCUUCUUCUUCUUCUUCUUCUUCAACCUUUAAAUUAAAAAUUAUGGGAUCUUUAGCAUUUGAACACUCUAGAUUUCUAAUAUUUUUUCUCAUGUAAAUGUAUAAAAAAUAUUACCUAAAAAGAGAAUAAACAUCGUUUUUAGGCUUGAGGAGUUGAUCAAAUAUGACUCUUGAGACUUCCCACUCUGCACCUAGCUAGCUCUUAGCUCUAGGAUUGGCUAAUCAUGUAAAUUAGUUUACUGUUGUUCUAUUUAUUGGGUGCUCUCUCCUGUUUUUGUUUUCUCGUACUGUGGCUAAAGAUUUUGGAUUGUAGAUCGAAAAACUCAUGAAAAGUGUCAAAGACUGGAAGGACUAGCUUGUUGGAACAAGGGCAACAUUAAUAUUAGGCUAUAUCUGGUCCCCUCACCGGCUUCCUUGAUCGCCUGGGCUCCCCCAUGGCCAAAUGUUUCUGCUUUGAUGCACACGCACGUGCGUCUCUGAUUUUUCUCGUUUUGCACUUACACUUUCAGGUGCUUCUCCUUUAACUCAUGUCUUUCUUUCUUUUCUCAAUCCUUCAUCUUAGAUUUUGUUUUCAGAUUUUAGAUUUCCAGUUCUAUGUUUCUUUUUAGUUUUGGGGCAUAUCUAGAAGUUCGAGUGUCUUAUGAUGAGACAUUAUAUAUAAAUUGUACCCAUUUGAUAAAAAUCACCGGAAUUUGAUUGGAUUUGAUUCCAUUCAAUUAUUUCAGUUGAGUUGAGUUCUCG